AAUAAAGUGCCUGAAAAAGGGUUAUUCUGAUAGAAUAAAUUAUGCAAAAUUUGCCUUUAUUG
rnacentral:tRNA from 1 species